GCAAGUCGAGCGGAUGACGGGAGCUUGCUCCUUGAUUCAGCGGCGGACGGGUGAGUAAUGCCUAGGAAUCUGCCUGGUAGUGGGGGACAACGUUUCGAAAGGAACGCUAAUACCGCAUACGUCCUACGGGAGAAAGCAGGGGACCUUCGGGCCUUGCGCUAUCAGAUGAGCCUAGGUCGGAUUAGCUAGUUGGUGGGGUAAUGGCUCACCAAGGCGACGAUCCGUAACUGGUCUGAGAGGAUGAUCAGUCACACUGGAACUGAGACACGGUCCAGACUCCUACGGGAGGCAGCAGUGGGGAAUAUUGGACAAUGGGCGAAAGCCUGAUCCAGCCAUGCCGCGUGUGUGAAGAAGGUCUUCGGAUUGUAAAGCACUUUAAGUUGGGAGGAAGGGCAGUAAGCUAAUACCUUGCUGUUUUGACGUUACCGACAGAAUAAGCACCGGCUAACUCUGUGCCAGCAGCCGCGGUAAUACAGAGGGUGCAAGCGUUAAUCGGAAUUACUGGGCGUAAAGCGCGCGU
rnacentral:rRNA from 1 species